AUUGAACGCUGGCGGCAGGCUUAACACAUGCAAGUCGAACGAGUGGCGGACGGGUGAGUAAUGCUUGGGAAUCUAGCUUAUGGAGGGGGAUAACUACGGGAAAAUGUAGCUAAUACCGCGUACCAUAGGAUGAGCCCAAGUGGGAUUAGCUAGUAGGUGGGGUAAUGGCUCACCUAGGCGACGAUACCUAGCUGGUCGGAGAGGAUGACCGGCACAACUGGAACUGAGACACGGCCCAGAUUCCUACGGGAGGAAGAAGUGGGGAAUAUUGCACAAUGGGCGCAAGCCUGAUGCAGCCAUGCCGCGUGGAUGAGGAAGGCCUUAGGGUUGUAAAGUACUUUCAGCGGGGCGGCGUUACCCGCAGAAGAAGCACCGGCUAACUCCGUGCCAGCAGCCGCGGUAAUAC
rnacentral:rRNA from 1 species